rnacentral:RNase_P_RNA from 1 species
GAAGCUGACCAGACAGUCGCCGCUUCGUCGUCGUCCUCCUUCGGGGGGAGACGGGCGGAGGGGAGGAAAGUCCGGGCUCCAUAGGGCAAGGUGCCAGGUAACGCCUGGGGGGUGUCACAGCCCACGACCAGUGCAACAGAGAGCAAACCGCCGAUGGCCCGCGCAAGCGGGAUCAGGUAAGGGUGAAAGGGUGCGGUAAGAGCGCACCGCGCGGCUGGUAACAGUCCGUGGCAGGGUAAACUCCACCCGGAGCAAGGCCAAAUAGGGGUUCAUAAGGUACGGCCCGUACUGAACCCGGGUAGGCUGCUUGAGCCAGUGAGCGAUUGCUGGCCUAGAUGAAUGACUGUCCACGACAGAACCCGGCUUAUCGGUCAGUUUCACUC